rnacentral:rRNA from 1 species
AUUACCGCGGCUGCUGGCACGGAAUUAGCCGUGGCUUAUUCCUCAAGUACCGUCAUAUCUUCUUCCUUGAGAAAAGAGGUUUACAGCCCAGAGGCCUUCGUCCCUCACGCGGCGUUGCUCCGUCAGGCUUUCGCCCAUUGCGGAAAAUUCCCCACUGCUGCCUCCCGUAGG